CCCUUAGAUGUUCUGGGCCGCACGCGCGCUACACUGAUGCAUUCAACGAGCCUAUCCUUGACCGACAGGUCCGGGUAAUCUUUGAAUCUGCAUCGUGACGGGGAUAGAUUAUUGCAAUUAUUAAUCUUCAACGAGGAAUGCCUAGUAGGCGCAAGUCAUCAGCUUGCGUCGAUUACGUCCCUGCCCUUUGUACACACCGCCCGUCGCACCUACCGAUUGAAUGGUCCGGUGAAAUCUCGGGAUUGUGGCCAGUUCACUUUAUUGGGAGUUGGCUGCGAGAACUUGCUUAAACCUUAUCAUUUAGAGGAAGGUGAAGUCGUAACA
rnacentral:rRNA from 1 species